ensembl:lncRNA
ACCAGAUGGCUCCCCAGUGGGCAGAGCUGUGAGAAACAUUUUGAAAGAUUUAUACAACAUCAUGUUACAUGACAUCAUUUUGCCUCAUUCAACAGAGCCAUAAAGGGGGUCCGAGCUUCACAGAAGCUACCAGAGGCUCGGAGGAUGCACAGGAAAUGAGUGCAUAGGCUGUGUCUCCGGCAGCACAACAGAACUCGGCUGGACGUGAGUGGAUGACAGAGAGAAGUCUUAAUGAGCCUUUCUUAUGGCUGUGAGAGCAUCCACCAUCAGAUUCAGUACCAUCAAAAAACCCACAAAUAGAGGUGAUGAUGAUCCUUAUUGAUGCUGCUCCGGAAGUCAGAGCAUCCUCCACUUGGGCUGCAAGAUAAGCAACACCACACCCCACUGCAUAAUAUGGUGAACAGAGAUAGGCAUAGGGAUGACCAGAAAGCCUGUGUAUUAGUGAUUCUGAUCACUGCUGACCAUGAAUAGAAGGGGACAGCUCCAGAGAAGAGAAGCAGGGAUAUUACACUUACAAGCAGAUACUUCAGUCUACAGCACACUUUUAGGAGUGGGUAAUCUACUGCUGAACUUCUUCCACAAUGAAGAAAACUGGUGGUAUCCCAAUGUAAUGGGGAGACUGACCCAGUCUUGAGGGCAUUUAGACAUUUAGCUAAGAAAUUUUCAUGGCCCACGAUACAACUGUUUUCUGAAAGUCAAGUUUUCCACAUGCAGUCUAAACAAUGUCUUCAGAUCAUAUUUUUCACAUAACAACAUGCAGAGCUCAGAAAAGGUAAGUCUAGAAGUUAACAUCUAGUUUAACUGUGCUUUAUGGUCAAAGCAGGUGAAGCGAACUGGAAUAAUGAGGUAAGAAAGAUGUGGGAGCCAAGUGUAUAAUCAAGGGGUUGUGAGAGGACACCACAGGGCAAAUGGGCAGAAAACUGGACCCUGGGCCAGGAUAGACUGAGAGAGAAAUGGGAAGGUUGCUUUUCAGUCUACAUUUUUUAACUUAUUCUUGCUUAACUUAUCCUUAUGUUAUCUAGUUUCUCUUUUUUAUUUUUCAAUGCUUUUUUAAUUUAAAAGAUGGGAAAUUGACAGUGAUUUACAAAAGUUAUUGUUGAUUAGAGAGAAUGUGAAGAGCCUUGGUGCUCUUACUACAUAAAAAUUCUUGAAGUGACCAACAUGACCAUCUUUGUCAUAUGAAUGUGCAUUCCACUAAGAAAGGGGAAAAAAAAGAAAAAGUAUUUUCUAGGAAAGAAAUGGCAAGCCUUGUGGUUUUAUUACAGAAGUUCUUAGUUAAACAAAGUUCUUCCAGACAAAUUAUGUUUAUUAUGAUCGUGAAAGGUCUAACUUAAUGAGAAGCAAGCAUGCUGCCAGGAGCCCUACAUAGACACUGACCAAUGAACAAUGCUGUUUACUAACACCAUUAAUGGGAAUUCAAAACUAAAACAAAGACAACAGAAGUCAAGCAACUAUAUAGGGGGCAGGGUAAAUGUAUAGUCAACAAAUAUACAGAAAGGCAUUAUCAGAUUGGUAACCACAGAUCAUAAAUCUAUCAUAGAUAGAUUAUUGCAUUGGAAAGGGAUA